GGGGGAAAAUUAAUAAAGUAUAAAUAAUAAAAAAAUUUUUAAAUUAAAAAUAUUAUGGGGGUUAAAGUAUUUUUAAUAAAAAAAAUAAAAAAAUUUAUAGAAAAUUAGUAUAGUGGGAGAAAUUUGAAAUAAAUUUAAAAGAAAUUAAUUAUAAAGUAAAUUUAAUUUAUUGUAUCUUGUGUAUCAGAGUUUAUUAAAAAAUUAUUAUUUAGUAAUAAAAUUCUCGAAUUAAAAAGAGAUAAUUAAUUAAUAAAGUUAUUGUAGCAAAAAUAUUUUUAAUAAUUAAUUUGAAAUGAAAUGUUAAUCGUUUUUUAAAAUAUCUAGUUUUUUUAGAAAAAAAUUUAAUUUUAUACAAAUUUUAUUAAAAAAUUAAUUAAAUAAUUUUUUAAAAAUAAAAUAUAAUAUUUUAAGGGAUAAGCUUUAAAAUAAAAAAUUAUAAUAAAAUUGUUAAUUAAAAAAAAAUUUUAAAAUUUAUAUUGUUUAAAAAUUUUAAUUUAUUAUAAAUAAUUUUUUUUUGAGGAAAAUUUUAAUUUAUUUAAUUUUAUAUAAAAAUAUAAUUUUUAAUUAAUAAAAAUUAGCAAUAAUGAUAAAAUUAGUAUAUUAAAGGAAUAAAAAAAUUUAUAAUUAAUA
rnacentral:rRNA from 1 species